UUCCUCUUGGUGUUGAAGAAGUAACCUGUCCCUGCAGCGCUGACCAUCUGCACCAGGAUGGUCCUGAAGGAAGAAAACAGUGGUGAAGCCUGAGUGGGAGUGGACAAACCUUCUGCUCCCUGAGAGGACUGAGUGGGCUGCCGCCAUCCGCUGUGUGCGCACCAGAGAUGGAGGCAGAGAUGGAGGCUUCCGGUCGCUAGGCAACCUCAGCAAUUAUGCCACUGCCAAGAGAGGGAAGAGAGGAAGUAGCACCCCGGGGCCCCCUGCCUCUGUUCAUCUUGGCCGCGGCUGGUCCGGUUUCAUCCUUCAUCUAAGUGUAGUGCUUCCAUACGAAGCCAGUGACGAGAGCCGCUGGAGCAUGCUGUGAUUCCUACUGCUCUCAUUGAAUCAGCUCUCUUCCCUGUGUUAUCAAGAUACAGUAGUCUGGUCAGGACAUGUCAUUGGUUGAACUAAAACACUCUGCUGCCCCCUGUUGUUCUCUACUGUUAAGUUUAUUAUACUGACUGUAAAACCUCUGUCCAUUGCACUUGUUACUCCAGCACAUUAACCUGCCAGAUUAAGAUUUUACAUAAAAACACAUGAUCAGUUUAUAAAAUAUAAAGGGCUGUCAACCUUUUGGAAUAUAUUACCAACUGAAAUCAGAUUAAUUCUAGAUAUGAAUUCUUUCACAACAAAGAUUAAGUGCUGGCCACCAGCAAACCAGAACUGUACCCAUUUCUAGCCAAUUUUAUUGUAUUGUUAAUUGUUUUGUUUGUCUGUUUGUCUGCUUAUUUGCUAUUUUAAUUACACUGUACAUGUAAAGCCCAACUCUUCUGAAACACAAGAAUUACCAGCAGGGCUUUAGAUCAAACCUUUGCCCAUCUUAAACUAGAUUCAGAUUCGUGUCAUUGCUAUAAAAGAAAUACAGCAAGCAGGACGGCCAUGGGAAUCUUAAAGGUAAUCAGUACUGGGAGCCAGUGUAAGGAGAUUAAAACUGGGUCGAUGCUGUCACAACUCCUCCUUGAGGUAAAAAGCCUGGCAGCUUUAGCAUAUGCUUAUGUAUGAGUAUUUAUCUGUAAUUAUUAGAAACUUCUCAUCUACAAUCAUUCUUCUUGCUUUAACUCUUCAACAGACUGCUGGUGUGUUCCAGUCAUGACAAUCUCAAAACUGUGUACAAACACACUAUCCUGGGAUAACUGUGAGCUGUUGGGUUUGAACAUUUCACAGCAUAAAGCUUCAAUGAGCUAAUACAUGCUGAAACAAAAUAUACACUGUGUGAUACUGUCAGCAGUGGUGAAAGAGGUGUUCACAUACUUCAUUUAGGUAGCACGUUACACACUAUAACGAUACUGUAUUACAAGUAAAAAGUCCCUUUGCUCAAGUAAAAGUACAUAAACCUUAUCAGUUACAAGGUAUCAAAAGUAAAUGUACUCAUUAUGCAAAAUGAAAGAAUAUUUUUAUUAUACAUGUUCUAUUAUUGGCAGUGAUGAAAUGAGUAAAUGUAAAUGUAAAUCCUGAUAUGCCAAGUAAUUAGAGACUAUAGCUUAGCUGACAGGUAAAUGUGGUGGAGUAAAAAAUACAAUAUUUCCCUCUCAUAUGUAGUGUAUGAGAAUAAAAAUAUGAAGUAGCAUAAAAAUGACAAAUUAAAUACUUAGUAGAACUGCCAGACAGUGAUAGACAGAGUUUUAUAUUCUAAAGAAAUCAUAGUUUUUCAUUUUAUUGCCCAGAACUUUUCACUGAAUAAAUUCUAUGUAACUUUUUGUC